UCACUACAGCGAUGUAGUAAUCCCAAUAAGCUAUGCUGAAGUUUGCACUUACUGGGAAGGGGGAGAACCUUCGAUUAAGGUUCGACUCGAGCGAAAGCGAGAGAACGUUGCCAGCGGCAACGGCCCGAAGGGUGAGGAGCGAAGCGACGAAUAAUCCUUCCCCCACCACCA
rnacentral:sRNA from 1 species